CUUGGUCAUUUAGAGGAAGUAAAAGUCGUAACAAGGUUUCCGUAGGUGAACCUGCGGAAGGAUCAUUACAGAGUUCAUGCCCUUCGGGGUAGACCUCCCACCCUUGAGUACUAUACUUUUGUUGCUUUGGCAGGCCGUCAGGUUUACGCCUGGCUACCGGCUCCGGCUGGUAAGUGUCUGCCAGAGGACCUAAACUCUGAAUUUUAUGUCGUCUGAGUACUAUAUAAUAGUUAAAACUUUCAACAACGGAUCUCUUGGUUCUGGCAUCGAUGAAGAACGCAGCGAAAUGCGAUAAGUAAUGUGAAUUGCAGAAUUCAGUGAAUCAUCGAAUCUUUGAACGCACAUUGCGCCCCUUGGUAUUCCGAGGGGCAUGCCCGUUCGAGCGUCAUCAACACCAUCAAGCCUGGCUUGGUAUUGGGCCUUGCCUGUAACACGGCCGGCUUUAAAAUCAGUGGCGGUGCCGCCUGGCUCUAGGCGUAGUAACUUUUCUCGCUAUUGUGCCCGGCGGUUGCUUGCCAACAACCCCUAAUUUAAUAGAUUUGACCUCGGAUCGGGUAGGGAUACCCGCUGAACUUAAGCAUAUCAAUAAGCGGAGGA
rnacentral:rRNA from 1 species